CGAACCGGUGAAUCCCUCGGCCGCAGAAGCAGAGCACGCGAACUUAACCACUCGGCCACGGGGACGGCCCCUAAAGAAGUAUUUUUAGUUUUCCAAAUUUUAGUAAAUUAUUAAGUUCAGAGUAAAAAACCCAUGUAGCUUUUUAAUUUUAUAAAAUCAUUGUGACACAAAUCAGAAACAUCAUAGCUAUCCUAAGAAUAGUGUGAAUGGAUGCUUUCAAUUAACUCUGUGGAAAUAUGUUUUUAUUUCAUGGUUUUUAAAUCUUGCUUCUAUAUUAGGCACUUUGGGAACUGUUUUCAAUCCUUUAGUAAACUGCUUAGUUUAUGGUAAGAACAUUGCAUUUUAAAAGAAUGAAAUAACAUGAAUGGUAGGAUUUCCCCCUACCGCCUGCAAAUUAACGCCUCCAUAGUUGCCUACAUUGCUAGUGUAGCUUUAAAUAUAGGAUAUUCUGGUUCAUUACAUGCACUCUUUGUGAGCAAUGUCUUUUUAAAACUGGUUUUGGUUUGCGUUCAAAGGAAUGCUUUUCUUGUUCAGCAGCUGGGUAUGAAUUUAAUUAUUGUAAAUAAAUAUGAUCUAAUGUUUCAUUGAGUUUUCUGAAUAACAAGAUAAUUUGGUCAGCACUGCUAUCUCAAAAGGCCUGGAGGAAAGCCAAAACACAAGAAGCAAUUGCUCUGGUGAGGAGGAAAUUAUCGGCAAAUUCAUGUGAUUUACUCCAUUUAACAUACAAUUAAAAGUGGCUGUCGAUUUGCCUGAUACUCUAAAUGCUUCUUUAUCUCUUGACUUGGUUACAGGAAGUGUUAUAAAAAGAAAAAGGCUGCUGAUGUUUGUUCCACCUUCAGUAUGUGGUUUCACAACCAAAGCCACUGUCCCUGUGUAGGAACUGCUUCCUACAGUGGCAGCGGGAUCUGAAGGUGCAAGACCAGGGAGCAGAUUGCGAUGUGAAUGUGUUCUUGGCACCGAAAGUAGAACUAGUGAGGAGGCUGAAGAAGACUGAGUGUGUCGUGGGCGUUCCAAGGUGCGAGUGGACUUGACACAGACGGGAAGUGGCUGCAGAAAAGUCAGAUGAGGCCAGAGUGCAAACAGACAAGGGGAUAACAGGCAAGUCCAUUCCAUCACCAGAGAGUCCUGCUGUUAACCGAUCGCCAGUGGGUUGCCUACCCUUUCCCCCAGGGAUCUCUAGCUCCUUCUUGCACCGGCACUGUCAGGUCUUUUCUGUACUUUGUUGGAUUCAAGAGACUGGACAAUCUGCAAGAUAAGUAAACAUUUUUUUCUUGUUAAUACUGAUUACUUCUCACACUAAAAUGUUGAUGGGUCACUAUGGCAACCCAUCCUGGUUCUUUUCACUAGGUCUUACCGAAGAUGCCUUUCACACUAGCAGUAAGGCCAUGGAGGAAGGACAGAGUGAAUCAUGGAGAAAGAACAUCCCAUCUUACCACCCAAUACAAUUAUGCAGUUGUGGAAGUAGAACUGGAACUCUGGGAGAGGUCAGGGUUAGAGAGAGAGAGAGAUUGAUUGAUUGAUUUGGGAGUUAUUUGCAUGAAAUUGAGUGAGAAAGUAGUGAAGCACUAGGUUUUCUGAAUGUAUGCUUUAGCAAGUUUUGUUUUUACAGUUCGUGUUUUGUUGGUGGCUGGCAGCGUCUUCUAAAAUAGAUCGUACUGUGCUAAGGACAGUGAGUCAUUCCACGUUGUUUUUCUCCUCAGUUCUACUCUGCGUUUGUCCCUCAUCAACUUCCUCUUAUCUCUAACCAUCUUGCUAAUGUUUCUGUCUAAGCAUUUCUCCUGUCUCCACUAUGGUCAGAGAAAAGGGAAAUAGACUGAAAUCACCAUCCCAUCAACAAGGGUUUAUGGAGGAACUUGUAUGCGCUUAGCAUCAUUCUGGGUGUUUCAAUCAUGUCAUAGGAGUGAUUGAAGUUAGAUAAAAAAGGCUUACCUUUAUAUGACAAUUUUUAAAAGUUGGAAUGAGUUAUUGAGAGAGGUCAUAUAUUCUAAACAUAUGAGAAAUGGUUAGGUUGGGUGCUGCCUGGUAAUUGAUAAUGAAACACAAGAUCUCAUAUGUUUUUGAGAUAAUAUGAAUAUAUUUUCAAAUUAUAUUUCUUGCUGACAAGUGGGUCAAGGAUUGUUUUCCACUUCUUUCCACACCUGUGUAAGCAGAACCCUUAUCAUUGAGCUUCUGUCCGUUUCAUAUAUGAUGAGUUUCUAUCUGCCACAUCCUCCAUGUUGGCUUGUAUGUUGGCCAGUGAAACAGGAAAUUCCUUUCUUUCACUUAAGUCUUUUUUUCAGUCAUUGUGGAAAUAAAGUAUGGAUUGUAAUCAGUUCUGAAUCAUAUUCCUUAAAUGAGAAUGAUAAAUAAUUAUCUUACUAUGUACGGCAGAUGUUAUGUAGAUGACAAAAUAUUUUUAUUUGCAUUACAGAGAAAGAGGAAAUAGUGUCCUAAUUCAGCGGGAGGUAUUUUUGUUUUGCAUAACUAAGGCAUUUCUGAUUAGGGAUAGCGGUAGGUCAAGAUUCAGGGAGGAGGUCAGUGCAAGACUAACGUGGUAUGCUUUCUCUUUUUCUGCAGAUUUCUAUGGAUAGACCAGAAGCCUACCAGUACAGGAUGUUUGGGUACAGGUGAGGCUAAUUUGAGGUAAGUGGGUUUUGCAGUACCAUAGUCUUGCCUCCCUCUCCCUGGAUCCCCAGCCCUAGUGUAGAAUGCUUGCCUGCUUCCCCUCCAGCACUGUCUCCCUCUGAAAGCUCCUCCCCUCCCCUCGGCCCCUGCUGUUUUCCUUAGUGACUCUGAUAGAAGUAGCACAAGCACCUGGACAUGGGGGAUGUGUUUUGGGGCAAUAUUUUUCCUCUUUAUCAUCUUUCUUCUAACUAUUCUCUCUGGGUGCAGCUUUACUGUAAUUAUAACAAAGCGAAACAAGGUGAACUUCAGGGUAGGAACUUUGCAGUUCUAUAAUUUUUUGAGAGUUAGAGAAAAGUUUUUCAAAUAAUUUUCUCACCUCUUGAUUGCUGAUCUUUGUGCUUUGUGGGAUGCAUCUAGUUAAUUGAUUAAUCAUCUAAUUACUAUUAGCAGGACAGUGGACAAGUAAAAUCUCUAGGCUUAUUUUCCUAUCUAAAAGUGGGCACAACCACACUUCAGUUGUAGGUUUGGUCUGAGGAUUAAACAAGAUCGUGCAUAAUGCCUAGAACAUAUAUUUGAUAAAAGAAUCAAUUCAGUCCAAUUUGCCACCAGUAUUGUGAUGUGCUAAAUUCACUGGUAAUUCUGAAUAUCGGAGUUUUGAGAAAGGCUCAAAUAAUUUUAUAUUAACUCAGUGUAAUAGCAACCAUCCAGUGAGUGCUUACUAUGUGUGAGGCUUACUAUGUGUGAGGCUCUGCGUUAAGCGCUUAAUCUUAACCUGUUUAACUCUCACUACAUCACCGGGAGGUAUGUUCUAUUAUCUCUAUUUUGUGAAGCUUGGAUAGAAGUAACUUGUCUGGGGCAUCCUUCCUUUUAAGGUCUGUCUGACAACGAGGUCUGUAUUCCUAAUUGUACUAUAGUGCCUCCCUGUGACCGUAUUCUAAAUUCUGGUGUCAUUAAUUUGAGAGUACGAUACACAAACUUGAGCACUUGUUCUUCUCUGAUGAUUAUGAAGUAGACUGUGAGGUGGGAAAUAUUGCAAUCGGAGUGGAAAAAGAUUAUGGACUUGGAACUCUUUGAUGGAGUAUACCGUGGAUUGGGGCAGCUUCUCUUCCUUUCUAGAACAUUGGCUAAGAACCUGGGCUCUGGAGUCAUAUUUCCUGGAUUGUAUCCCAGCUCUGCCACUUAGUAGCUUUGUGACCUUCUGAGGCUGUUUGCUCAUCUGUAAAAUGAUGAUAAUAAUAUUACCCGCCUCAUAGAUUUAUUGUGAGGAUUAAAUGAGUUCAUACAUGUAGAUUCCUUAAAAUAGUGACUGACACUUGGUAAGCACUAUUAGCUAUUAUUGGUAUUUCUAAGUCCUUCACUUUAUAUCUAUCUUCUGGCUGCCUCCAUAUGUGCAUAGUUGCACUUUUCCUAAAAAAUACACAGAUGUACUUAAAGAUGUUGUGAUGCUUGGUCCCCAGGAUCAUAAUCUGCUUUUGCAAUUUUUAGUGUAUUAUAAUAAAGGGAAAAGUUGAUUGUUACUCUUAAAUUUCUUCCAUCCCCAGAAAAAAUUAUUGCUUAAGAAUUAAUGGGAUUAAUAAUCUUUUAAGUGUUUAGUUCUGACUUCAGAUUUGUGAAACUGAAACCUGUUGACAAAAUCAAUGUUAACAAAACCAAAUAUAUUGAGUGACCCAAUUGGCCUUGUUUUUAGUCAUAACUUCAGAUUAGAAGUAAAAGCAAAUUUGAAACAUGUGGCUGUAUAGAUUCUCUCCUCUUUUUAUGCAGGCAUUGUGAGUGAGGUACAUGGUUAGACAUAGCCUUUUUGCCUAGCGCAAGGAAGAGUUAAUAAAGUAAAGUUAUGUAAAGUGCAUCGAACUCCUCAAGAGAGAAGUGUUAUAUUAAUACCUGCCUCACGGUGAUGUUCUCAGACUUAAUGAUAGAAAGUUUGUAAAUUGCCUUGGUACUCCCAGUAACAUCCUGAUGAAGCAUCAUUUCGUUUUAUUGCAAGGAGCUCGAAGUUACACAGAAUGCAAGUUAAGGGGAAAUAAUAUCCCAGUCUUUAUUUUACAAUCAGAAGUACAUAAAAUAAACAGAAAAUAUUUUGUUCCAGUUGUGAGUGGUAGAGUUAAUUAUUUUUAUAUUUUCUUUCUCUAUUACUUUUGGGAGAGAGGGGAAUUGAUACUGCACAGUUUAAUCGGGCACCCAUGAUUAAAGUAUAUAAUGGCAGAAAUAGCCAUCAUGAUACAGAGACCUUUAAGGAUACUAGUAUUCAAAUAUUUAAAAAUUAAAUUUAAGCUUUAAAAGAGUAAACUCUUUCUUAUAUGAUUACUAUUAAGUUUGGCAUUUUUGAGACAUGCCUUAAAUCGAUACCUAUAAUACUUACAGACAUCAGUAGGGAGAAUAGUAUUGUAAACACAUAUUCUUGCUGUAGGGUACAUUUUAAACGUCUAAACACUAAUCAAUAUAGAGAAAUUAAGUAUUGACUAAAAUAGCUUUAUAAUAAGUAAUUAUUGGUUUGCUCUUUUAGAAAUUAGACAUUUUCACUUUGGGAAUAAAGAGUAAAUUUACUGUCAUGAAAUUGAAGUGUUUUUGACCUUUUUGUACAGCUUUCCUCUGUCUAUGAAAUGAUUAAGUUUAAAUAUGAUUGCACAGCUGUAUUAUGUUGCAAGCAUCAAUUUUUAAUUAUUAUAAGGUCAAUGUUAGAACAAAUGUGAUUAGUACGGUACCUCAGUGCACUUAUUUACUUUCCACUCAAAAACCAUCCUGUGUUUACCAAAACCAGCCUGAACCUCUCUCUGCUGAUACGACUAAUUAGAUUUAUGCCAAAUCCUUUAUUUUUUCCUCAGUGUUUAUCCUAUGUUUGUUAUUUUAUUGAUUCUUUCAGUUUUUAAAAAUACAGAUUGCUUUAUUUAUCUCUUCCCUUCAUAAAAGGACUUUUAUUUUCCUAUAUCUGUAUGUAUAUCUCUCUGUGUCUAUAACCAUAGAUAUUAAUAAGUUCACAAUUCUCCUACCUUUGUGUAACACAGUGUCUUAGCUCAGGCUGCUGUAACAGGGUAUGGUAGCCUGGGUAGGUUAAACCACUUUUAUUUCUCGCAGUUGUGGAAGCUGAGAAGUCCAAGAUCAAGGUGCCAGCAGAUUUGGUGUCUGGUGAGAGCCCUCUUCCUGGUGUGCAGGUGGCCAUCUUCUGAUUAUGUCCUCACAUGACCUUUCCUUGGCACUUAGGAGGACUACGUUUUCUCCCACCCUUGCAGUUGGGAAGAGCCGUGGAACUCGUUUUGGCCAAUGGGCUCUGAGCACAAGAGACAUGUAAUUUCGUCAUGUAAUCCCUGACUUGGGACCUGCAGCUCUCUCUUCCCCUCCUGCGGUGUCUCAGGAGGCUGCAUAUUCCAGAUGGUGCCGCUGUAAGAUGGCAGAGCCUCCGUAAACCAGGCUUCCUCAGUGACUCUCUGGUGACCUGUGUGGAGUCUGUAGCAUGGGUCCCUGAGCCACUGAGUCUCUAAAUGACUGUCUGUGGACCUGUUUGGGGCACAUAGCAUGAGCCAGAAAUGUUCGUGUGUGGCCACUGAGAUGUUGUGGUUGCUUGCGACUUCAUUGUAGCCAAUCCUAAGUGCAUACUACAGCUGCAAAAUGGGAACUGGGGUUGAUUUUUAUUAGCUUAUCUCUAGUAGAAAAGGUUUAUAAAUAUUUAAGGACGACUUUAAACUAUCCAGCAAUUCUUUUUUAGAGAACAAAGAAACUUGUACAAUGUAUAUCUGAAUUUUAUAAAGGUGAAUACUUUGUGUGUUCCUGAUUUUUCUUGAUGGUGUUGAAGGAGCAAACCUCGUGCUGAGGUAUCUGAUUGUAGUAUUGCAGAUGGCUUGAUCAUACAUGGAUACAGAGGUUAAAGCUCUAGAUCUUCCAUGGUUUUCAUUCACAAAAUCAUCUUUUAUUUCCACUUCAAAGUAGCUACAGCUAGUAUCACUUAAAAUAUUUUUUCAGCUUUCAUUGUGCCAUGGAAAUUAGCAUUUUUAUUACCACAAAUUAUUCUUGUUUGGUAAUUCCAAAGAUGUCCAAAAGCAAGAACAGCCUCCUGAGCUGUUAGACUUUGGAAGAGAAUAGUAAAUCAACGAGUAGAUAGGACCAUAUAUCAUAUUAAACACAGGGAAUUCACCACAAAAUCAUUACACUAAAAAGCGACAAUUUUGAUUGAUUAAAAUGGUAUGGGCUGGAUAGUGUUAAAUCACUGUGAGUGAUAUGACAUUAUAAUUUUACAUAGCAUAUUUCUGCCAAGACAAUGAAGGUAAAAGGCAUUGUCAUCAGAUGAUAACAGACAAUAAGAAGAAUCCUGAUGUUAGAUUUAUUACCUGGUUUAGAUUUAGAAAGAAGUAAUUCUUGUCCUGUUCCACUUAUCAAAUGACUGUAAAUUCAGUGAUGAUGUAAAAUUCUAAGGCAGAGCCACUUAUAGGUUUGACAAAGUGCCAGCUGUAAAGUAUUUAUUGUUCUCAGUGGUUCUGCCUUACAAACUUAAAUAUUUAUCAGAAACAUAAACCCCUCUGAUAAAUGUUUCUGAUCUUUGUGGGUAAAUUUUUUUUUUAACAUUUAGAUUUUUCAUCAGAAACUACAUCUAUAUUUUUAUUAUGUUAAUAACUUUGAGCUCAUCAUUUGAAAAGGUAAUAUGUGCAUUUUAAAAUGUUAUUCCUUUUAACUUCUGCUUUUAAGUAUGACAUUUUUAAGAUAGUAUUCUUAGUAUCGAAAUGAGGCCUUCCUUAUUUUACCAUUGCUAUAGAGGCAGCUCAGCCAAAAUUUCUGAAUUUCAUCCUUAUGUAUAUCCCAGGAGAGGUUUAGGUUGGUGGUGGUCUGGGUGCGGUCUGAGAAAGUUCAUGGUGUCCCCAAGUAUCUUAGGUGAUUGUUUUAAUGCCAUUUAUCUCUGUAUCUUGUUUCUGAAGGACACAGGCACAGGUGAUUCCUUACCCUGGGCACAGGGAAGUCCUUGCUUGAGAGCACAGCUGACAGGACCAAAGAUUAGCACCUCAGUCAAAGGAAGGCAGUGCUUACUGGCCAGUGAUCUGUGAGGUGGCAGGUCACAACAUGAGAACCCCGGGAAACAGGAUGCUGUCUACAGGAAGUAGGAGCCGGGACCUGGUUAGAUUGUCUGAAGCACUCAAAUGUGAGACACACGAAUGGUAAAGCAGCUCGGAAGCACAGAGAAUCAUAGAGAGAAGGCAAUUAGUAGUCUCCAUAAGGUUGCCAAAGACACCACAAGCAAAAGCCAAGAGCUGAAGAAAGAAGAGCAGAGGCACUGAGUAGUUGCAAGAGAAGUGGACAUUAUAGGAGCUGAAAUAGAAGGUAGCGGAACCAUCAGGAAACUGAAACUUGACCUAAAGGAGGACUAAAAGUGGGCUAAGUUGCUGGAGUACAGCUGUUGAGAUUAUUUUUCAUUAUUCCCGAGUUCUCUGGGUAUUCAUACAGCAAACCAACUAACUAUGUUAAACUGGGCUUCUCACUCUUCCUCUAACUUCAAAAAGUCUCAUACAUCUAAGAAAAUAUAAUGAAUUCAUAUGAUCCCAGAAUUUCAGCUCUACAAGAGAACUUAGAGACAUUUUGCCAAAGUGUUUUCCUGUUUAUUUUUCUUAUGAAGAAUUUCAGUGCCAGAGAGAAUAAAAGUCCUUGCUUUGCUCCACCAGCUGAUCAUAUGCUGUGAUCAUAAGCUUCUUAAGACCGCAAACAUAUCUUAAGUAGCUGUUUCUUCUUGCCUUGCUACAAAGUAGGAGCUCAAUAAAUGCAUUUUGAGUAGUGAGUCACCGCAAAAUCUUAUGGCAUUUGACAGUUUAGAUUUGCCUGUAGAGCUGGUUAAUUCUAAAUAGUUAAAAGAAGGGAUAUGGUAAAAAAGUGAAAUGAUAAGACUCUUAUUUAUCCCUCCCCAAUCUAUUUUGUUAACACUUUCUCUUCUGCACACCACAUAUACACACACUCAAAUCAAGGAGUUAUUAGCCUUCUAGGCUGAUUACGGAAGUUUUAUAUUCAUCAAAAUUGGCCCUAGAAAAUUCAUUGCACAAGGCUGGCAUUUGAGGUUCAAAAUUGUAUGGGCAAUGGGGCACUGACAGCAUCCGACUAAUUUACUGUUAGGUCUCCACACUUGCUGAGAUUCAUGGAUUAAAAGUGAAAGAGGUUUUCUGGAACAUUUUCUGAUUCAAGGAUAAAGAAGGUUAGUCUGAAGCUAAGUUCUCUGACCCUCUAAUAAUUUACAUGGAGCUUUCAGUAUCAGUGUCAUUUUCUUGAAUAUCAAAGGCUAAAGAUUGUUUUGAAUAAAUCAAGACUUAAAAGAAGUCUCUGGGAAAUAUUAAAUGACUGUUGAGCAGACUGCUUCAUGGAAGGAGAACCAUUAGUUGAAUUCAGGGACAUUUCUUCUAUUUUGCCGUCCCUAUAAGAGAACAACAGUAAAGGCUAUGAAGAUUACAGCUGCCACUCAUUUUUGCUUUAACUUUGAGUUUUAUUUUCCCUUGAGAUAAAUCCUUCAAAGCCAGAAUAAAUAUUUCUCCAAAAUAGCAUAUAGCAAAGAAAGAAUGCUAUUUCUAAUCUUCAUCUGGGUUUUAUUUGAGGAGAUUUAAAGAUAAUUCCUUAGUUUUGGGCUAAUUCUGCCUUGUGGUCUGUUUUGGAGGGUUGGACUCCUUUUGUUAGGAAAGUUUACCAGUCUAAAUUUCCUACAAAAGGACUUCUGAGAAUUGUGAUGACUUAUGAGACAUGAAGGGACUGGGCUUAGGAAAGAGAGAAGCCCAGCAAUUUCCAUCCUGCUCUGCCUUGGAGGGGUGCAAGUAUUUCAGUCAAGGGCAUGUGCAAGGGCAAAUUCUGACCAUUCACAAAACUGCUUUACUCAUUGAACAAAUGGGGUUGUUUGGAUUCUAUGUGACAUAUUCUGGAACAAAAUAAAUCCUAAAGAAGGCAAAA